GGAACCUGCGGAGAGAUCAUUACCGAGUCUCUCGCCCCCCCCUCCGGGGGCAGAUCUACCAACCCCCGUGUCAUCGUGACUCCUAAGCUUUGGCGGGCCGCGCCCCCACGCGCCGCCGGCCCCCCCAACCCCGACCGUCCGUGUCGUCCGAGUGAAGCGAAAUCGUGAAAACUUUCAACGGUUCUCUUGGUUCUGGCAUCGAUGAAGAACGCAGCGAAAUGCGAUAAGUAAUGUGAAUUGCAGAAUUCAGUGAACCAUCGAAUCUUUGAACGCACAUUGCGCCCCCGGGCAUUCCGGGGGGCAUGCCUGUUCGAGCGUCAUUGACACCCUCUCACGCGUCGCGUGGUCUUGGGCAUCCCGGGCACGCCUGGGCUCCCCAAAGGUAGUGGCAGUGCCGCCACGGGCUCCGCGUAGUACGACCCUUGCGUCAGCCCGCCGGCGGUCCUGGCCAGCGAUCCCCCCCACUUCAAGCUUGACCUCGAAUCAGGUAGGGAUACCCGCUGAACUUAAGCAUAUCAAUAAGCGGAGGA
rnacentral:rRNA from 1 species